UACAGAGGUCUCAAGCGUUGUUCGGAUUCAUUGGGCGUAAAGGGUGCGUAGGCGGCGCGGUAAGUCGGGUGUGAAAUCUUGGAGCUUAACUCCGAAACUGCAUUCGAUACUGCCGUGCUUGAGGACUGGAGAGGAGACUGGAAUUUACGGUGUAGCGGUGAAAUGCGUAGAUAUCAGGAGGAACACCGGUGGCGAAGGCGGCUCUCUGGACUGUCCCUGACGCUGAGGCUCGAAAGCGUGGGUAGCAAACAGG
rnacentral:rRNA from 1 species